rnacentral:lncRNA from 1 species
AAAAUCAAAGUUAAUGCCAACAAGUUUCUUGUCAAAAAAUUCACAUCAAAGGGAUGCAUGUUGCGCGGUUAUAGAGGUUAUAGUGGCAAUACACAUGAGUGGCUCCAUUCUAAAUGCUAAAAUGCAUUCAGUUGAUAAGGAUUCCCCAAAAGUCGGGGCAAUAUGUGAAAUUACAUCAGUAUACUUGCAAACAUAGACAGAUCACACACAUUGUAAUUUUGCUAAUGGAGAGACCUUCAGCUCUGAUCCCGAAGUUAAUAUUCUUCAUCUUCUCCGUAACAAUGUAGUUAUGCCCAACCUUUCCGGUCACACACACACACACAUGGAUCAGGGACUGAUUACAUGCCACAAUUACAACAUGAGCGCGAGCUUCAGCAAACAAACAGGGCGAAAGACAGAAAAUGUGUUGACUGCAUAACCUGUAUAGAAAACAUUUGUACUACAGUAAUGUCCCUACGAUCUACAUACUAAAAAUAGACUGCAUAACCUGUACAUACUUCCAAUCAAACUCAAUUAUCAACGAAAUCGAGCCACUAAUUUAAAUGGGCAAAAAAGGAUUUGAUUAUGGUAACCAAUCCGAACACAAGGUAAUGGUGGCUCCCUGCUUGAGGUCGGUGAAACAUUGGGCAUGCCAUUUAUACGGCCCUCUCCAUCUGCAAGGGAGAACGACGAGACAACCACCAAAGAAAGUCAAAGUGUGACUGGGAUAUGGAGGAUACUUCUUCCCAGAAACCAUAUGGUAGGUACUAGACACAAUAAAUAAAUGAAAAAAAUAGAAGCUACUAUUCAACAAGAAAAAUCUCGGCCUAACUUCUGUGAUAACAAGUUCAGUUUGAAUGUGAAUUUUAGCCGACGACAGUAAGAAACAUUAAUAUGAACAGCUGAGGAACAUAUCCCUCCAGAAAUAUCAUCAAAUAAGAUUACUAAAAUGAUUAUCGCAGUUACAGUUAUGUCACUUGGUCUGCCCUACCUGAAGUCAUUAUCUGAGGCUACAAGGAGAUGGUUGUAGGAGGCACUUAGAUAAAGACAAUGUCUUCCCCUCCGACCAACACGGAAUCCGCUGCCUUCAGUCUGUCCUCGUUUUGCCAUUGUACUUCCUACCAUGCACCGAUUAUCCAUGACAGGCUGACAAGCGACGAAUCAGCUGGAGCACCACAUAGAAGUACAUCUGAUUCAUCAGGAAGCUACUUUUCUGUUUGAGAAAACCAUGUGAUAAACUCAUAAACAUGUUAACUCACUUGUACUGCUGCUCACACAUAGGACAUGAUAACUAUCACAAUAAACCUCCAAAACUAGCAACAACUUUGUCCAGCGUCUAUUGCCAAAAUCGAAGCUUCUCUUCUAGAUCGUGCAAUAAAUGCAACUAAAAUAUAAAGAGUAAUUUGCGCUGAUUGAAGUGCACACGUACCAUAGUAUAAAAUCCAUUGCAGCCUCCUGCUCCACUUGUGCCGUUAUCUAUAAAUCGAAUAAACCUCCAAUUAAGCAAUUCAACAAGCAUGGCAUGAGCACAAAACAGAAAUGAAUAUAUAGUUCAGUAAUUCUACGAAUUAAUCAAAUAGUGGAAUCCUAAUCGUAUUUUUUAAAUACAAAUAGAUCAAACAAAUAAGGACAUUGCUGGAGUUAUAGGAGGUUAAAAAAGAAAUGAUAGGAUGAGAAAUCAGGGCUCACCUGAAGCAACAGAGGUGAAAGCUGCAGACCAAGAAAGGAUGCCCCUGCCUCUCCCGGCAAGGAGCAUGCCUUCGUGAGGCGCCGACCUCAAAUCUGUCGCUGGAAUCUCCUGCCUUUGUUGGUUAGCCAUCUAAGUACAAAUUCCCAAAAAAAUAUCGUCAUAUAAAGGAGAUUACUUUCCGAUAGUCACAGGCAAAAUACAGCCAUGACACACCCGUUAUACGUGUGCAUCCACCUGUCGGAGUGAUAAUCACUAAAAGGAAGUAGGAAAUAACCAAAUAGUUGUAUUACUGCUAAAAGGUGAAUAUAGUUAAUUAGGCUUCUGUAACCAAUCGCAAGAAACAAAUAUGUGUGCACCAUGUUGCUAAUUCGCGGACUAAAAAGCGUACAUGAUCAAUACCAGUACAAAAAUAAAUAUGCAAACAAACUAAUCUGCAAAAAUGGGAGUCAAAUUAAGAUGCAAUUGAUGGGAAGACCACAGGGAUAUUUGUGGAGAUGGAUAAUUGGCUCUUGUAGGUAUUCUAUCAAACAGGUUGUGAGCAAACCAGUCUGGUACAGAUUCAAAUAAAUUAUGAAGGGAGCAGACGUGCUAGAUUGAUUUCUAUAAAUAUGCAAUGAUGAGUGAUGGCAGGGCUAUCUCACCUCCGAAAAGGGAUGUGAAUCCCGACUCGCCUGGCUCCAAAUUAGCUUCGUACUGAAUCCCUGAUUUGUUGGAACUACCAAAGACACUAGUUCUGAAUUAAAAUCAGAUAGCUGCAUAGCCCAGCUAGCUAAGGUAUGCCUGCUCAUACUAUCUUCAGGUGAAGCUAAUUUCGUGGUGCACAUGACUAUCUCCUGAAGCAGAUGAUGCAACCAACUUCGCACUAAUAAACUGAAGAACAAUAAAACCACGCUCCUAACCAAUUGGAGUACAAAUGGUUCUUGUUUUGCCUCAGGCCACCCGAGCAACUCAUCUAUAGCCUAUUUGGCAAUAAUGGGAAGAGGGAUAUGACUUUAGAGGAGGGAAUCAGUAGUGUAUUGGGCAAGGAAUUAGUUUUUACUCCCAAUCCUUUGCUUGGUUUCUUUUGGGAAUUACUAGCAGCAAGUGAAGGAUAAGGAUUUCGUCGCUUUUUUUGAUUAUUAGUGGGCCAGAACAACAACUGAAUUGCGAAAUUGACCAGUAGUAUGUUUGUUCCGCAUCAAGCAACGAUACGGAUAAACAGCUGCCAGAUCAAGUAUAUCGUGUGCAGUGAAGUGUUGCCUGUAUGCGUCUGAUUUAUUGUUAUAUGUGUUUGCUCCUGAAGAGAUAGUCCAAGAUCUGAGGCAACACUUAUAAGGCUACGGCCAUCGGCCGGCAACAUCGAGGCAAUAAAGUGAGGCUACUGAAGCAUAUCCAGCCAUGGAUGCCAGCCUGUGGGAUCUUGAUCUACACAGGUAGUCAGGCAUAAUAAAGCAAUCGAUGGUGAAGUUGUAGUGAGAAUCAAUCAUAGCUCCCGUAAAAUAGAAUCAAAUUGAAAGGGCUGGAUCCUGAAGCAAAAUCAUAUGGGAGCAUUUACCAAUAAGCGACGAAGUACCUCUUCACGCAGCAGCCACG